UGGGUAAUGAUCAAGAUUCUACGAUUCGAUUCUGAUUCACAAGCUCUUUUGCUUUUCUAGGUCCUUAAGAGUUUUGUUAUAGCCUAACUGGACAUUAGUCAACUUUUAAGUUCUAGGUUCUUUAUUUCAUUUUGAAACUGUUGAAAAAAUACUUUUUAAGGUCGGUUGAAUAAAAUGUAAGACAUUUUAUCAACGUUUAGCAAUGUUUAGUAACAUUUAUCAACAGGUGGCAGCAGAUUAUCCUUUUGACCUUUACAUUUGCUUACAACAAGCACCUACUGGAGACUAUGCUCAUGAAAAAUUAUUUUAGGGUUUAGUUUUAAUUUGUUGUUGUUGUAUCAAAAAUCUAUUAAUUGCUUUUGUAUGUUAAAAAAACUGCUUGUAAAAACUCAACUGUGUCAUACUGCAGAACUAUAAAAAGGUCAUCAGACAGAAUAAUGUGACUAACAAGUGAUUUAGUGAUUUAGUGAUUUAUCACUAAAAUGGAAACUGCAAAAAAAUAAAAACUGAAGAAAAUCGCAAUUGCUUCACAAUUAUAAACCAGGAUAACUUUAAACCUAAGCUCUGCUGAUGAUUGACAGUGCUUAUUUAGUUAAUUAUUGUGAUCUACAGAAGUAAAAUAAGUCAUGCAGGUGAGCUUCAGUUCUUACAGAGCACUGGCUCAUGGGUUGUUGGCUUUGUUUCAAGGAAGACACUGACAGGGAGCUCAGCAGAUCAUAACACUUGAUUUAUUAAACAUAAAGAAGUGAACAUCAUGAAUUAACCACAUCCGAUUACACAGUGUGUGUCAUCUCUCUCUCUCUACCUCUCACAACUGCACGUAGACCAUUCUUUAUACCUCUAGAUCUUAUUUAAAGAUAUAUAACAUUCAUUUUAACCUUGAAUUUCACUCCCUAAAUAAUACUCCCAUACCCAACAAGGAAUGUCCUAAUUUCUAAUACAACUCUUAUAAUUCCAUGGCACAAAACAAAAUGUAGACAUAACAUUCAAAAAAAUACAUUACCCAAAAACUGUAUCAUUGCGAAUUUUGGGUUCUGUGUGACAGUCUAACAACAGUAGAGUAAAACACUAUACUUGUUGCACAUCAACAAUAUUUAUAAAACCGAGAUGAGUAAGCAGGAGCGGCACGGAGCGUCAUCAACAUCCUCAACCGCAGGGCAUUCGAGGCAGCCUGAGGGACAAAGAGAAAUGUCACUUCUCCAGGUGGUGGAGCAACUUUUUCGAGAGGAAACUGCUGAUACUGACCCAGAGGAUGGUGUGGUGGUGCCAGAGAUCCAUUGCCCUUUUUCUGACCAAAAACUUGCCGUUCUGCGUGGAUUGAUUAAUCCCUUGACAUCACCAUUGAAUGACAGGGAGCUCUAUGUCCAGACACUUGCUAUCAUCAAAAGAUUGUGCUCUAUUUAACAUUUAAAUGUUUAAGUAAAACACUCAGAAGUACACAUGCAGUUCUGUCAGAAUUUUAAUUAAAGAAAAUCAGUUAAUUGCCAAUAAAACAUUUAAUUUUAUACAAUGCUGUAAAACAUGUAACCAUUCAGAAGCAUGUAAAGUUAUUAAUACGUUGAACAUUGUAUCUCUGGAUUUUAAAGUUUAUAUUAAAACUAUUGAGAGAGAUUCUAUGUGGACAUUUGGAGUUCAUUUUAAA